rnacentral:rRNA from 1 species
CACCUAAACGGCGAACUGCGAAUGGCUCAUUAAAUCAGUUAUCGUAUAUUUGAUAGUACCUACUACAUGGAUAACCGUGGUAAUUCUAGAGCUAAUACAUGCUUAAAAUCCCGACUUCGGAAGGGAUGUAUUUAUUAGAUUAAAAACCAAUGCCCUUCGGGGCUCACUGGUGAUUCAUAAUAACUUCUCGAAUCGCAUGGCCUUGCGCCGGCGAUGGUUCAUUCAAAUUUCUGCCCUAUCAACUUUCGACGGCUGGGUCUUGGCCAGCCGUGGUUACAACGGGUAACGGAGGGUUAGGGCUUGACCCCGGAGAAGGAGCCUGAGAAACGGCUACUACAUCCAAGGAAGGCAGCAGGCGCGCAAAUUACCCAAUCCCGACUCGGGGAGGUAGUGACAAUAAAUACUGAUACAGGGCUCUUUUGGGUCUUGUAAUUGGAAUGAGUACAAUUUAAAUCCCUUAACGAGGAACAAUUGGAGGGCAAGUCUGGUGCCAGCAGCCGCGGUAAUUCCAGCUCCAAUAGCGUAUAUUAAAGUUGUUGCAGUUAAAAAGCUCGUAGUUGAACCUUGGGCCUGGCUGGCCGGUCUGCCUCACCGCAUGCACUGGUCCGGCCGGGCCUUUCCCUCUGGGGAGCCGCAUGCCCUUCACUGGGUGUGUCGGGGAACCAGGACUUUUACUGUGAAAAAAUUAGAGUGUUCAAAGCAGGCAUAUGCUCGAAUACAUUAGCAUGGAAUAAUAGAAUAGGACGUCGCGGUUCUAUUUUGUUGGUUUCUAGGACCGCCGUAAUGAUUAAUAGGGACAGUCGGGGGCAUCAGUAUUCAAUCGUCAGAGGUGAAAUUCUUGGAUCGAUUGAAGACUAACUACUGCGAAAGCAUUUGCCAAGGAUGUUUUCAUUAAUCAGGAACGAAAGUUAGGGGAUCGAAAACGAUCAGAUACCGUUGUAGUCUUAACCAUAAACUAUGCCGACUAGGGAUCGGGCGGUGUUAUUUCUUGACCCGCUCGGCACCUUACACGAAAGUAAAGUUUUUGGG